rnacentral:rRNA from 1 species
CAAUAGCGUAUAUUUAAGUUGUUGCAGUUAAAAAGCUCGUAGUUGGAUUUCGGGUGGGACGCAGCGGUCUCGCAUUGCGUUUGUACUGCUGCAGCCCUCCUUCUUGCCGGGGGCGGCCUCUCGGACUUCACUGUCUGGGGGUCAGAAUCGGCGAUGUUACUUUGAGUAAAUUAGAGUGUUCAAAGCAAGCUUACGCUCUGAAUAUAAUAGCAUGGGAUAACACGACAGGACUCUGGCCUAUCGUGUUGGUCUAUAGGACCAGAGUAAUGAUUAAGAGGGACAGUCGGGGGCAUUCGUAUUCCGUUGUCAGAGGUGAAAUUCUUGGAUUUACGGAAGACGAACAUCUGCGAAAGCAUUUGUCAAGGAUGUUUUCAUUGA